UAUUUUUUAGGAUUUUAUUAAAAUACGGUGUGGAGUUUACCAUCGGAAGUUACCAUCACAAACAUGAUUGUUUCUAAUAAAAAAGUAAACAAAACAAAAAUAAAGCUUAAGAGUCUAGAUACAGGACAAAUUUUAAUCGCUUUUGUGGUUUUUGCAAUCUGGUGAAAGAAAAAAGAAAAUCAAUUAAUUCACAACAAGAGUGAGGGGAAGGGGGGACAUGUUCACAUGUUGUAGAAAUACAUUUCCCAAUUUCGACAAUACAGUCACGAUAAACAUUCACUCAAUCACGCAUUCUUUGUUAAGAUGGUUAGACUUCAGUGCGAAAGAAAAACGGGAGGGAAGAAAAAAAUAAAAGAUAAGAAAAAAUAAAAUAAAACUAAACCUAAAAAGACCUUUAACAUACAAAACUCACUGUGCAGGGGGCUGUGUGGGGGAGCAGGUCUACAUUCUGAGGGCGGACUGCGGGAGAUAAGGGGGUGGGUGUGACUGGGGGGGUAUGUGUGCAUUUGAACCCUGAGAGAGAUAGAGAGAAAGUGACCAAUUCUGUCCAAUUCAUUAUUGUGUUUCCGCUCUUUUCUACACGAGGUGUGGCCGGCCCCCCUGAGGGCGGGGCCGGGGGGGCGGUAUCGGGAUAGCACAGCCCGCCACCGCUGGGAGUUGGCAUGGUGAGGGGGGUCCAAGAUAGCGUCUACACAGCCCCCUCCACCUGUCCUCAGACCCACGGUGUUGGGGUGGGUCUGCAGCCCCGCCUCCCAAAGUCAAAUGUAACUGUCCGUCUGGAUGUGUUGGCGGGUGGUGGGGUGGGGGGGGGCCGGGAGGCGUCCGUGGGUCCGAACACCUCGUGACUGACUGACUGACUGACUGACUGCGUCUCCUUACUUGGCCCAGCCUACUCUGGUCAACUGUUUUAAGGCAGUGAGUGUUUCCAUGGCGACAUGCUAUCGUAGCUACGCUAACAGGGAAGGAUAAGGCCCAGAGAAUAGCGUCUGGAUAGGGCAGCUACGCUAGGAUAUAUAUAUUUAUAUAUUAAAAAGGAAAACCAACAGACAAACUGAGAAGGGAGGGGGGGAGAAAAUAAAAGUAUCACAGGGAGAGAUCUUAUUCCUCUGAAAUGUCUCAGUACAACAUGUGGAACCCAAAGGUCAACAUGUGGAACCCAAAGGUCAACAUGUGGAACCCAAAGGUCAACAUGUGGAACCCAAAGGUCAACAUGUGGAACCCAAAGGUCAACAUGUGGAACCCAAAGGUCAACAUGUGGAACCCAAAGGUCAACAUGUGGAACCCAAAAGCAAAUACAAAAAAACAAACGUCUACAAUAUAAGUAAAAUGGAUUUCAUAAACACAGUGCACUGCUGAAACUGAAAAAAAAAAAAACGUUAUCAUAGUCAACAGCAAAUUUAAGAUUACUAUUAUGCGCAUAUUCCAAACUAUAUGGGAGUUAUUUUUAAAAAUAUAUACUCAUCACAUGACAUGGGAGUCUAAAAUCUCAGGACACAGACGCCCCUCCAUGUCACUCAUAGACUCUGAGGGAAAACUAUACAUCACUGGGACUCACCAUCACAGCAUGGCGAUAAGAGGGGGACUCAAACACUGGCUGGGAGGGCAGGGGGGGAGACGACGAAGGUACACCGAUUUCAUUAAGCAAACAGCCUCUGCCCUACAGAAAAUACAACUCACAUGCACUAGAGCGGCAUGGGGCAAUGACAGGAGCCGAGCCAACAGAAGGAGAUCAGCGUCUAACCCUAGAGCUCUUUAUACGACAGCUAGCAGACCGCAUCCACACACCCUCACAGCCUUCUCUUUUUUUUUGUCCUUUUUUCUUUUCCCCGGUUUCCCCCCGGCUGUGGAGACGUGUUGAUAUCAGCUGAGUGUGGGAACAUCGUCCCAACGCAUUUGUGCUCAUUUACAACAACGUACAGAAACAGAAAACAGGAGCCAUGUUCUUAUUUAUUUUUAAACCAUAAUCACUUCAGGGGACCCACGCGCCGCGCCCCACACGGUCCGAUUCAGGGGAGCCUUUACCAUCAACCUGCUCAUCUUUACUCUUUAGAUGGAUGACCAAUGCUACUGCUCUUCUAGAACCAUUCCGGUUAAGAUGAUUCAUAUAUCCAUAUAUAGAUAGGUCUAUAUAUGGAUACACAUAGAAAAGGAAGAAAUGGGUAUGCAUGGUACAUUCAAUAUCUGUUACUGAGGUACUAGAUAGGGGUGGGGGGGCGAUGAGUGGCUCCUGGGGGGGGGUCCUUUGGAAAGACAACCUUGUUAUCCAGACAGGGCGAGGAAGCCUGCGUGCACACAGCACGUGCACGCACACACAAGACGUGCACGCACACACACACACACACAGAAGACGCGAUACAGUCAGUAACAGCCUUUUUAAUCUUUUUUUGAGGGCUGGUAGAGGUCAGAGGUCACCGCCCAGCCGAUAUGUGGGGUGUGGCGGGGGGUUAGGGGGAAACGAAGGAAGCGGUUAUAGCGGGUCGGGGGGGCCCCUGGGAGCCCGUUCGGACCUCGGACCUGGCUCUGCCUGCUCAGGUGCUGCCCCGGUGGCCCCGGUGGCCGUGCGCCCCGUGGCCCCGGUGGCCGUGCGCCCCGGUGGCCCCCGGUGGCCGUGCGCCCCGGUGGCCCCCGGUGGCCCCCAGUGGACGUGCGCCCCGGUGGCCCCCGGUGGACGUGCACCCCGGUGGCCCCCGGUGGA
ensembl:lncRNA